CCUACGGGAGGCUGCAGUGGGGAAUUUUCGGCAAUGGGCGGAACCCUGACCCAGCAAUGCCGCGUGAACGAAGAAGUUAUUCGUAAUGUAAAGUUCUUUUAAUAGGGAAGAAAGAGAAAUUUGACGUUACCUGAAGAAUAAGCUUCGGCUAACUACGUGCCAGCAGCUGCGGUAAUACGGAGGAUGCGAGCGUUAUCCGGAUUUAUUGGGUUUAAAGGGUGCGUAGGCGGAUCGUUAAGUCAGUGGUCAAAUUGCGGGGCUCAACCCCUUCCCGCCCUUGAAACUGGCGUUCUUGAGUGGAAGAGAAGUAUGCGGAAUGCGAGGUGUAGCGGUGAAAUGCAUAG
rnacentral:rRNA from 1 species